UCCUUGGUGGCUCAGAAGGUAAAGAAUCUGUCUGCAAUGCAGGAGACCUGGGUUUGAUUCCUGGUUUGGGAA
rnacentral:tRNA from 1 species